GCUCCGGUGGCCUAGUGGUUAGAGCGUCCACCUCGGAUGCAGGAAGUCAUGGGUUGGAACCCUGGCCGAGUCA